rnacentral:lncRNA from 1 species
CACCCAAGUUCAAGGAGAGGGAACUUCCACUCAACUUCUUGAUGAGAAAAUGGUGAGAUUCUACAAGGGCAUAAGGAAUGAGAGAUGUGGUUAUGACCAUCUUUGAAAAACACAAUCUGCCACAUUCUUCAAAACAACUGGAAGAAACUCCCAACAAGACAGCUCCGAGUGACGGGGAGCAGAGAGGAAGAGCGGAGUGACUCAUCAAAGCCCCACCCAGGCUGCAUGCCUGGCUGCUCCAACAUCAGCCCGGG